CUAAAGCUAGCUCUCCUAGCUAGCAUUGAAACUCACCUGAUAUGAAAUGUACACUGCACAGACGGCUACUUGCAGUCGGCGUCCAGUUAACCCUCCUGAUCGCUGAAAGCCAUCUGUGACGACGUUCUUCUUCCUUUGGUAAUCUAUAAAAAGCUAUAUCUCAGUCUCCUUUCUUUUUGUCACACCCAACUGCACAGCAUUUUGACGGCAUCUCCGACUACCUGUGUGGUUCAGUGUUACUACCCACCUUUCAAGGG